rnacentral:misc_RNA from 1 species
AAGUUUCAGAAAAUUCCCAAAUGUAUAAAUACAAAAUUUGUAUAUAGUACAUACCUAUGUGUAUAUUCCCAUGUGAACUAUACAAACAGAUAGAAAAUAUACGAACCGCAACCUUCAUAGCAAACGAAACUAUAGCUAUGGAGCGCACAGAUAUGAUUCAUUUGAACCGAAUAACUUCUUGACAUAUGUAAUUAAUUCAAAAUUUUUGAAAAGCAAUAGUACGGUUUCAGCUGUUGUUAAACAUAUGCUGCACGUUGUUUGAAAAAUGCAAUGGCGAAACGUGGAGAGUAAUAUGAGAGCAGGAGCAGGUAUUCUUUAAUUUUCAUGGUCAAACCUGGUGAUGGAUUACCCUUGCAUAUAUGCUUCAAUUAUGACCGUGACAGGCCACCCUUUUUCAUGUAAGCAAAUUUUCACCUGAGUCUUCUGAAAGUUUCUCGAACAGUAAAGAAUGGAUAAUAAUGUUUAGUGUUGUCUGGAGCAGUGAUAUGAGGUCAAAAAGUUGAGUACCUGCAAAGAUGAAUAACGUCCAAGAAGUCCAAUGAACUCUAAAGUGUUUCUUCUAGCGCUUACUUUAGGUCAACAUGAACUUAGCACCAAUCAUAAAUCUGCCUCAACACUGCAUCUUAGCAACCACAACCAUGGAAACUGCUCCUCACUCCAAUCAGCAGUUGGAGUGUAGUGAGGCAUGCAUAACCAAAGGCACUAUCAUGGGAGACUGGACGUCAGAGAUAACAAGGACUCUUCUAACAUCAUGUGGUACUAUCAGAAGUUCAUAAGAUCUUCUGCUAAACCAGGUGUGAGUUCUUGUACAAGAGGUCCUUUGCAUCGAUACACAAUUUACAAGUAGAACAAGUGAGCAGGCAGAGUGCGGACUUGUAGGCAUAGAGCACCUGACACUUUUCUUGGCAAAGAAGGCAUGCCACGCAUCAUUCCGUCACAGAAGCAAUGUAAAAGCUGCCACCAUAGUUCUCACUAACCGAUGCCUGAAAAUGUGGAAGCAAGUUGUUGUAAACUUCUAUGAAAACUUUUGACCUUGCAGUUAACCUUCUUAAAAGACAAGAACAUAUGUAAACCUCUUCAAUAUCAGUUGAAAUUUUUAAUCUUAGAUACUGCUUGAUAAGCUCGCAUAAGCAACUAACAGCUUCAUCCCAUCCAUCAGUGCCGACAUCAGGGAGAAUGUAAAUCUUAGACAUAGUCCUCUGCAAUACAGAAGAUAACUGUUUCUUUGCCCCUGCUUUUUGAUACAUCUCGGCCAAAACGCACAAAAUCUGACAAUUGGUGGCUUUGAAUAUGUCAAUCCAUUCAGGUGGAUUUCCAACCCACAAGUCAAUGCUUGAAAUAGAAGGACUACAGUUCUGAUUAUUAGCACAGACCAAGGAAGCAUCCAGUGAAGAUUCAGUGUUCCUGUGUGCAGGGAGGAGUUCAAG